GAAGAAGUGUAGAAGAGGUUAUCGGCAUACUAGACAUGAUUUUCGGGUUAUUUCGGUAAAAGACCUUUGGUGUUAAUAUUAAACUUAACGUUUAUUUCGUAUUGGAGUGUGAUGAGUUAGAAAAUUUAAUUUUUGCCGCUUGAGCUUUACGUUUUGGUUGCGAGCGGUUUUAACCUGAAUCAUUGGAUUGGUAGGAGAAAAUGACAGGACCGGCUUGGCCUAAAUGUUGCUUACGAACGGAUUUGGAUGUAAGUGAAUACAAAAUGAGUUCUUUGAGUGUUGAUUAGAAAUUUAACACGAAGUCGACUGCGGCUGAAUUCGGAUCUGUGGUUUGGAGCUUGCAGACUUCACUGGUUCGGAGUAUCCAAGAAUUACGAAUGUGCCGGAGUGUGCGCAGUUUAUUGACAUUGCAUUCUACAGCCAGUUAGUUUGAUGGUGCACGCCAAGAUGGAAGAUGCGUGUUGAACAGUAAAGCCGAACAUGUGUGUUUUUCUAUAUAUAAAAGUGGGGGAGACUGUCCUGAGUGCGAAUCCGGUGCCCGAAAUCGCGACAAUAAUGGCUGUAUUGAGUUCACGCCUUGGAUUUUCGAUCCGAAUUUAUUAAAUACAAAAAAUAAUAAAAGGGAAAAAGGAACUAGGUAAAAAAAUAUGGAUGGACAACGUGCAGUGGAACUAAUGCCCCUUUUACAAGAACGUUUGGUCGUACUAACAGGAGGCCGGGAUAGACGCGGAGGGCCAGUCCUAUCGUUUCCUGCUAGUCCUAGAAGGGAACGUGCUAAACCAGAGGACUACCGCCGUCUUCUACAGUACCUCAUGUCUAUACCGAAGUAAGAUUAUACUCUUUUUUUUUAU